UACAGAGGCCUCAAGCGUUGUUCGGAUUCAUUGGGCGUAAAGGGCGCGUAGGCGGUCUGCCAAGUCGGGGGUGAAAUCUUUCGGCUCAACCGGAAAACUGCCUUCGAUACUGGCAGGCUAGAGGGAGGUAGGGGUUGCGGGAACUACCAGUGGAGCGGUGAAAUGCGUUGAUAUUGGUAGGAACGCCGGUGGCGAAAGCGCGCAACUGGACCUUUUCAGACGCUGAAGCGCGAAAGCUAGGGGAGCAAACGGG
rnacentral:rRNA from 1 species